CAGUCGCCGCGGUAAUACGUAGGGUGCAAGCGUUAAUCGGAAUUACUGGGCGUAAAGCGUGCGUAGGUGGUGGUUUAAGUCCGUUGUGAAAGCCCUGGGCUCAACCUGGGAAUUGCAGUGGAUACUGGGUCACUAGAGUGUGGUAGAGGAUAGUGGAAUUUCCGGUGUAGCAGUGAAAUGCGUAGAGAUCGGAAGGAACAUCUGUGGCGAAGGCGACUAUCUGGGCCAACACUGACACUGAGGCACGAAAGCGUGGGGAGCUAACAGGAUUAGAUACCCCCGUAGUCCCUGUCUCUUAUAC
rnacentral:rRNA from 1 species